rnacentral:rRNA from 1 species
AUUGAACGCUGGCGGCAGGCUUAACACAUGCAAGUCGAGCGAGCGGCGGACGGGUGAGUAAUGUCUGGGAACCUGCCUGAUGGAGGGGGAUAACUACUGGAAACGGUACUUAAUACCGCUUACCAUCAGAUGUGCCCCGAUGGGUUUAGCUUGUAGGUGGGGUAAUGGCUCACCUAGGCGACGAUCCCCACCUGGUCUGAGAGGGUGAACGGCCACACUGGAAAUGAGACACGGGCCAGACUCCUACGGGAGGCAGCAGGGGGGAAUAUUGCACAAUGGGCGCAAGCCUGAUGCAGACAUGACGCGUGUGUGAAGAGGGCCUUCGGGUUGUAGAGCACUGGCAGCGAGGAGGCGUUACUCGCAGAAGAAGCACCGGCUAACUCCGUGCCAGCAGCCGCGGUAAUUC